AGAGUUUGAUCCUGGCUCAGAGUGAACGCUGGCGGCAGGCCUAAUACAUGCAAGUCGAACGGCAGCACAGCAGAGCUUGCUCUGUGGGUGGCGAGUGGCGGACGGGUGAGGAAUACGUGGGAAUCUGCCCAGUCGUGGGGGAUAACGUAGGGAAACUUACGCUAAUACCGCAUGCGCCCUUCGGGGGAAAGCCGGGGACCUUCGGGCCUGGCGCGAUUGGAUGAGCCCACGUCGGAUUAACUAGUUGGCGGGGUAAAGGCCCACCAAGGCGACGAUCCGUAGCUGGUCUGAGAGGAUGAUCAGCCACACUGGAACUGAGACACGGUCCAGACUCCUACGGGAGGCAGCAGUAGGGAAUAUUGGACAAUGGGCGCAAGCCUGAUCCAGCCAUGCCGCGUGAGUGAAGAAGGCCCUCGGGUUGUAAAGCUCUUUUGUCCGGAAAGAAAAGCGCCGGGUUAAUACCCUGGUGUCCUGACGGUACCGGAAGAAUAAGCACCGGCUAACUUCGUG
rnacentral:rRNA from 1 species